rnacentral:sRNA from 1 species
GCCAGGCGCGGUGGUGACGCCUGUAAUCCCAGUGGCUCAGGAGGCUGAGGCAGGAGGAUCAUGAGUUCAAAGCCAGCCUCAGCAAUACCGAGGCCCUAAGCAACUCAGUGAGACCCUGUCUCUA